GAUGGGAAACAGGUUAAUAUUCCUGUACUUGGUGUUACUGCGAAGGGGGGACGGAGAAGGCUAGGCUAGCCGGGCGACGGUUGUCCCGGUUUAAGCGUGUAGGGGGUGUGACCUGGUAAAUCCGGUUGCAUAUCAACCCUGAGGCGUGAUGACGAUGCACUACGGUGCAGAAGUAGUUGAUGCCCUGCUUCCAGGAAAAGCCUCUAAGCUCCAGGUAACAUUGAAUCGUACCCCAAACCGACACAGGUGGUCAGGUAGAGAAUACCAAGGCGCUUGAGAGAACUCGGGUGAAGGAACUAGGCAAAAUGGUGCCGUAACUUCGGGAGAAGGCACGCUGGCAUGUAGGUGAA
rnacentral:rRNA from 2 species